rnacentral:lncRNA from 1 species
GUUUCUAUACUUUAUUAUAAAAUUAUUUGAAUAUUUUAAAUAAUUUAAAUUUAUGGCAAACAUGUUCGUAGGUCCAAUACAUCACUAUGUAUCAAAUUCAGAACAUCAUUGGCUCAUUCACCUUCUUCAGCAAAAGAUGACUUGGUCAUCUUACUAAAGAGAUAGGAUUAAUAAGUUGACAAUGAUUCACAAUCAUUGACUUCAAGAAUUAUCUCCUGUUGAUCCUAUUCUUAUUUAAGGACUGAGCCUAAAUUACUAAAGAUAGACAUUUAUGA